GGGUUUCAGCCCAUCCCAAGUUCCUUGUUCGUCUCUCGCCCCAUUGUCCAACUCCCGAAUCUGAUGAUCCAUGGCUCUGAUCUGAUCGGUGCCGCGAGACAGAAAUAGGGGCUUUCGCUUCAGCAAUCUUCGCGACCACCGACCUUUUUUUUGCUUGUUGAUCGACCGACCAACAUUUGUAUCAAUCAAUCUCGUAAAAUGAAGCAUCAAGGCUGGUAUAUAAAGGUUGCUGCAGUUUCAGCCUUUAUCGGAGCUUCUAUGGAGCUUUUCAUGAUCAAAACCGGUUUCUAUGACAAAGUAACAGUUUUGGAAUCGGAGAAGAGAAGUUGGGAAAAUUCAGAGGAAGCUCAGGCGAUGCGAAACGCCCUUAAUCCUUGGAGGAACCGUGAAGCACAACAAGAGAACGAAUCUUAAAUCGUUCAUUUGAUCACAAAUAAAAUUCAGAUUAUAAGCUUUGUUUUAAAUUGCAGAGAUUUGAGAUUUCAAUGAACUGUUAGCUCAUGUCAGUAAGUUUGUUUUAGCUUUGAAUUUUAUGUGAAGAAUAAUAGGGUGUUGUAUGCUGUUCAAUUUGGAAGCAAAACCUUAUAAUGAAUUUGUCUUAUCUAGUUUUAUUGAAACCGUUCAACUUUAAAAUUUA